AACGAACGCUGGCGGCAUGCCUAACACAUGCAAGUCGAACGAUUGCCUUCGGGUGAUAGUGGCGCACGGGUGCGUAACGCGUGGGAAUCUGCCCUUAGGUUCGGAAUAACAGCUGGAAACGGCUGCUAAUACCGGAUGAUAUCGCGAGAUCAAAGAUUUAUCGCCUGAGGAUGAGCCCGCGUUGGAUUAGGUAGUUGGUGGGGUAAAGGCCUACCAAGCCGACGAUCCAUAGCUGGUCUGAGAGGAUGAUCAGCCACACUGGGACUGAGACACGGCCCAGAAUCCUACGGGAGGCAGCAGUGGGGAAUAUUGGACAAUGGGCGCAAGCCUGAUCCAGCAAUGCCGCGUGAGUGAUGAAGGCCAUAGGGUUGUAAAGCCCUUUAACCGGGAAGAUAAUGACUGUACCGGGAGAAUAAGCCCCGGCUAACUCCGUG
rnacentral:rRNA from 1 species